rnacentral:rRNA from 1 species
CCUACGGGAGGCAGCAGUGAGGAAUAUUGGUCAAUGGUCGGGAGACUGAACCAGCCAAGCCGCGUGAGGGAGGAAGGUACAGAGUAUCGUAAACCUCUUUUGUCAGGGAACAAAGGCGGGGACGUGUCCCCGGAUGAGUGUACCUGAAGAAAAAGCAUCGGCUAACUCCGUGCCAGCAGCCGCGGUAAUACGGAGGAUGCGAGCGUUAUCCGGAUUUAUUGGGUUUAAAGGGUGCGCAGGCGGUCUGUUAAGUCAGCGGUCAAAGCCUGGGGCUCAACACCGGCCCGCCGUUGAAACUGGCAGUCGCGAGUUGGAGAGAAGUAUGCGGAAUGCGCGGUGUAGCGGUGAAAUGCAUAGAUAUCGCGCAGAACUCCGAUUGCGAAGGCAGCAUGCCGGCUCCACACUGACGCUGAGGCACGAAAGCGUGGGUAUCGAACAGGAUUAGAUACCCUAGUAGUC